rnacentral:misc_RNA from 1 species
AUGGUGGACGGUAAUCAUCCUCUUCUGCCGCCAAAAGUGUGCGUCACCGGAGCUGCUGGCUUUAUCGGCUCCUGGUUGGUCAAGACACUCCUCCAACGAGGCUACCAUAUUCACGCCACCGUUCGAGAUCCUGGUACCAUCAUAUUUUACUACUCACUUUCACAACAUUUUUUUUUUUUGAGUUAGACUCUAAAACUAUCUUUACCCUUACAAUUCGAUUCAGAGAUAGAAAUGGGGUAGGGAGUAAUGGAAUAUAGUGUAUACUUGAAAUGUGUAUUAUUAUCUGAUUGAAAUGUAGGGAACACAAAAAAAGUGAAACAUCUGCUUGAACUACCGAAAGCCGAAACGAAUUUGACAAUAUGGAAGGGGGUGAUGGAGGAAGAAGGAAGCUUUGAUGAAGCCAUUGCAGGGUGUGAAGGAGUGUUUCAUGUGGCCACCCCUAUGGAUUUCGAUUCCAAGGACCCUGAGGUAACUAAGUUCGUGGCCGGGGUAACUCAAGCAAAUCAGAGUUAAUCGACCAGCCAACUUAGUAAUUAUAAACUUCAAAAUUAAAAUUCUUUACAAGAGUUGGUUAUUAGUUUUCUUGAUUUGAGAGGUGAUCAGCUAUGAGUAAACUAAUUAAGCGUACUUUCUACGAUAACUAAAUCAUAGUUUUAUUUGUCCUUUUGGGCCAUCCACUUGAUAAUAAAUUGUUACAUAUAUUAUAACAUAUAUAUAUGUGUAAAUUGUGGUAGAAUGAAGUGAUAAAACCAGCCAUCAAUGGAGUGCUCAACAUUAUAAACUCUUGCGUCAAAGCCAAAACCGUGAAGAGGCUGGUUUUCACUUCCUCUGCCGGGACUCUCAACGUUCAACCACAACAAAAGCCUGUCUACGACGAGACCUGCUGGAGUGAUCUGGAUUUCAUAUAUGCCAAGAAAAUGACUGGAUGGGUUAGUUUAAUCUUCUCUUCUUUUUUUCUUUGUUUUUUAUUUUUAUUUUUAUUUUUAUUUAUUAUAGCUAGGAAACCCGCAACAACUAUCCUAGGAUAUGCGUGCAUGUAGUAGGUGUAACGUUUAUCCGUUACUAUUAUUAUAACAUUAGGAUAAGUUAUGAUAAUAUUCAGUAUUUGAUAUGUGGUGCAACACUAAUAACCUAAUAGCUAGACUACCAUUAUGAUUAGGAGUCUAGUUAGGGUUUAGGAGACCUAAAAACAAUCAACCACAAUGAUGGCCAGUGGUUAUAUAAGGUCACUAGUCCUCUCACGGCUCACAUUAUUACAUACCUCAUACACCAUCUAGAGAGAGCUGAGUAAAGUGAGAGACAAAAUACUCGUUAUCUCUGCAGCAGUCCGGAUCGCUCAACCGUAUCAAGAACUAUGGCGGGAGGUUAGUCGAUCCUAUUAUCACAUUAUUAUAGUGAUGCAUGUGAUAUUUUAGUCUAACAGUUGGUAAACUCUGCCUUGUGAUUCGAUAGCUGACAAACGAUCACAAUGAGGUAAACCAACCUAGUUAGUAAAGGAAAUCCCGCCUUGUGACCCUAUAACUGGUAAAGAACCACAAGGAGGUAAGCCAGCUUAACUGGCAAAGGACCACAAAGAAGAUAAACCAGCCUAGGAAAGUCGAUAGACCGCUUUCACUAUGAAUCGAACUUAAUGCUUGCGGUUACCAAGCUAACGAACAGUCUGACCAACUUAAUUGUGGUUGCUUCUUCUUUGGAAAAAGGUGAUAUAUAUGGACUGAGAAUUAUAGUGUUAUAUAUUGUUGGUGUGAUCUGCAUGCAGAUGUAUUUUGCAUCCAAAAUACUGGCAGAGAAGGAAGCAUGGAAAGUAACAAAAGAGAAGAAAAUUGAUUUCAUAAGCAUCAUACCACCACUAGUGGUUGGCCCAUUCAUUACCCCAACAUUCCCACCCAGUCUCAUCACUGCACUCUCACUAAUUACUGGUAUUUUCUGAAAUUAAACCUGCAAAAAUUAACACAAGACAUCUGUUUUUCUUCCCUGAAACUAUAUUUACUUUGUGAUAUAAUAAUAUAUAGGGAACCAAGCUCACUACUCCAUCAUUAAGCAAGGGCAGUAUGUUCAUCUGGAUGAUCUCUGUGAAGCUCACAUAUUCUUGUAUGAGCAUCCCAAAGCAGAAGGAAGAUUCAUCUGCUCUUCUCAUCAUACAACCAUCCAUGGUUUAGCGGACAUGAUCACACAGAAUUGGCCUGAAUACUACAUCCCUUCCGAGUAAGCUACACAUAUAUAUACUAAUUAAUUAGUAUAUAUAUGUGUAGCUUACUCGGAAGGGAUGUAGUAUUCAGGCCAAUUCUGUGUGAUCAUGUCCGCUAAACCAUGGAUGGUUGUAUGAUGAGAAGAGCAGAUGAAUCUUCCUUCUGCUUUGGGAUGCUCAUACAAGAAUAUGUGAGCUUCACAGAGAUCAUCCAGAUGAACAUACUGCCCUUGCUUAAUGAUGGAGUAGUGAGCUUGGUUCCCUAUAUAUUAUUAUAUCACAAAGUAAA